AGCCCAGGCCUGGAUUCCCAGGUCCUACCACUCAGUGAUUACCACUGACCACAGACAAUUGGCCAUGGCCUUACGGCUCAGCUGGGUUUUCCUUGUUUUGAUCUUUAAAGGUGUCCAGUGUGAAGUACAGCUGGUAGAGUCUGGGGGAGGCUUGGUGCAGCCUGGAAAGUCCCUGAAACUCUCCUGUGUGGCCUCUGGAUUCACCUUCAGUAGCUACAGCAUGGACUGGGUCCGCCAGGCUCCAGGGAAGGGGCUGGAGUGGGUCGCGUACAUUAGCAGUGGUAGUAGUUCCAUCUAUUACGCCGAGGCCGUGAAGGGCCGAUUCACCAUCUCCAGAGACAACGCCAAGAACACCCUGUACCUGCAAAUGAACAGUCUGAGGUCUGAGGACACGGCCACAUAUUACUGUGCAAGACACACAGUGAGUGAAUGUUGCUGA